GAUGAACGCUGGCGGCGUGCCUAAUACAUGCAAGUCGAGCGAACAGAUAAGGAGCUUGCUCCUUUGACGUUAGCGGCGGACGGGUGAGUAACACGUGGGUAACCUACCUAUAAGACUGGGAUAACUUCGGGAAACCGGAGCUAAUACCGGAUCAUAUUUCGAACCGCAUGGUUCGAUAGUGAAAGAUGGUUUUGCUAUCACUUAUAGAUGGACCCGCGCCGUAUUAGCUAGUUGGUAAGGUAACGGCUUACCAAGGCGACGAUACGUAGCCGACCUGAGAGGGUGAUCGGCCACACUGGAACUGAGACACGGUCCAGACUCCUACGGGAGGCAGCAGUAGGGAAUCUUCCGCAAUGGGCGAAAGCCUGACGGAGCAACGCCGCGUGAGUGAUGAAGGUCUUCGGAUCGUAAAACUCUGUUAUUAGGGAAGAACAUACGUGUAAGUAACUGUGCACGUCUUGACGGUACCUAAUCAGAAAGCCACGGCUAACUACGUG
rnacentral:rRNA from 1 species